AUGAACCAAAAAUUCACGAUGAGCGCAACCUAUGAGCUAAGCAUCAGAAACGAUGGCCACCUCAUUGACAUCGCUCCAAGUCCAACCACUGGCACGAAUAACGCUCUCAAUCAGAGCGGCGGCGAGAUCCGCACGGAAUGGCUGCGGGAGCUGACGUCGGCGUCACGGAGCGCCGCCGUCCUGAACGACCUCGUCGGCCGAACGCCGGUGCUGUGGUACCUCGGCGAGCGCGCGGCCACCAUCCUCCGGCCGCGCUCCCGGCGCGCCGACCUGAAGGCGCUACACGCGGUGGCCAUAGGCCCGUACCACCGCGGCGACCGUGGCCUCGCCUUCGACGACGAGGCCAAGCUGCCGUUCCUGCGGUACCUGCAGGACCGGUGCGGGCUCGACGUCGAGCAGUACGUCGCGGCGCUCGGGGCGGCGCGCGGCCGCUUCCGCGAGGAGUUCGCCGACGACGCGGACGCGGUCGCCGCGGAUUGGCUCCGGGACGAGGAGAAAUUCGUGAAGAUGCUUCUCCUGGACAGCAGCUUCCUCCUCGUCUUCAGCCUCAUGUUCGGCAAGACCGGCGGCUCGGAGGAACGGGCGGCGGCGUCCGUGGUCACCAGGGAGCGAUUCAUACUGUACACGGCCGUGGCGCAGUACGCCGACGAGGUCAAGCUCGACCUGCUCGUGCUGGAGAACCAGAUCCCCUUUGCCGUCGUCAAGCUGCUCGCCGCCUCGUGCCGCAGCCUGAAGCUCCGCUCCGUCGAGGAGCUGGUGGUCGGCUGCUUCGACGGCAUCUGGCCGACCAGGGCGCGCGGCAAGGUCGAGUUGUUGCUCCGGCAGACGACGGACGCGAGAUUCUAUCACAUCCUACACCUCUUCCACUGGUCGCGCGUCCCGGAGAACAAGUACCGCCUCCUCUCGGUGCCGCUCAAGUUUCCCGAGGCCAAGGAAUCGGAGUCGGAGUGGAUCAUGCCUUGCGCCAGAGAGCUGCAUCGGGCGGCGGUGUGGUUCCGGAAGCCAUGUCUGGACGGGGCGGAGAGGCACGGCGGCGACCUCAACAUGGAGUUCCGGAGCGCGGCGGCGAGCCCGAUGGCGGUGAUGACCAUCCCCAGCUUCCACAUCCUCGCCUACACCGCGGCGCUGCUCCAUUCCAUGGUGGCCUUCGAGAAGCACUUCCACUGGGCGCACGGCGCCUGCGUGACGGUACACGUCAGGCGCAUGGAGGGCCUCAUACGGUGCCCGCAGGACGCGGCGCUGCUUCGCCGCCGGUGGAUCCUCGGCAGCGUCAAGUGCACCGACGAGGAGGUGGUGGAUUUCUUCCGUGACAUGGUCGCGGAGGCGGCCGGGGUGCGCAUGCCCGAAGAGUACGGCGGGAUGAUCAGCGCUGUGGCGCGGCACAGGAGGAGGCGGGCGCGCAGAUGGUGUGGGGACUUGAUACUGCACUUCCUCCCGUCGCCCUGGGUGUCCGUCUCGCUCGCCGCCGUUGUUGCGCUCAUCAUUGUGCCGGCCAUGUUGCAGACAAUCUACACCGUUUUGGGCUACAAAAAGUAG
rnacentral:rRNA from 1 species